GAGCUUGGACUUGAACUUGAUUUGGAUUCAAGGGCUUGAGUAGCUUGAUCUUGAAUCUUCGUCUUCGGACUUGAAUUUGGAUAUCAGUUAGUCACAAACACUUGGAUAGUUGCCACGAACAAUGAAUAAGUAACUUGAUCUUGAACAAAAUUUUCUUCGUUCUUGAUCUUGAACUUGAUCUUGAGCUUGAUUGCUUGAAACUUAUAACUUGCGGAGAAAUUAUGGUUUUUGAUCCACGAGCUUUGUUCUUGCUUCUUGUUUCUCC
rnacentral:lncRNA from 1 species